rnacentral:rRNA from 1 species
UACGGGGGGAGCAAGCGUUGUUCGGAUUUACUGGGCGUAAAGGGCGCGUAGGCGGCGUGACAAGUCACUUGUGAAAUCUCCGGGCUUAACUCGGAGCGGUCAAGUGAUACUGUCGUGCUAGAGUGCGGAAGGGGCUACUGGAAUUCUCGGUGUAGCGGUGAAAUGCGUAGAUAUCGAGAGGAACACCUGCGGCGAAGGCGGGUCUCUGGACAGUUCCUGACGCUGAGGCACGAAGGCCAGGGGAGCAAACGGG